ACUCCUAUGUGGUGGUUGCUGCUACAGAUUUUCGAAAUUGACAAUAGUCUGGUCAUAAGAAAGAAAAUAGAUACAAAGAUGUAGUAAGCAGCAUAUGGAUUACUAGAUGAAAGAACAGCAUUGUUCCUAAGCUGAUUCAUGGACUAAAGCAAAAGCAGCAGCAUAUAGUAUGUAAAAGAAAUUGAUCACGCAUGAUCUUGAUCUUGAUCUUGGAGUUGUAUAAAAGACAAUCCAAUAACAGUCCAUAUACAUUUGAAAUCCCUUGUGUUUGUACUAAACCUAAAAGAGGUUAGUAGACAUAGAAUAAAUCUAUGUGGGUGUCCGACCAAAAGCGUCCGGCCUCUUUCUUCUUGAUCACGGGCUAAUAGAAAGAUCAACCAUCAGGUUGCAAUCCAACAUCAGAUCCCUUAAGGAUCCGGCAUAGCAGAAUAGUUUACUGCUGCUGUAUGACUUACUCCCACAAGGCUUUGUAGUGAGAUUAAGAGGAGAUAUAUAAUAUGUCGGAUACCAAAGAAGUUGUAGUCCAUAAGCUCGUGAAAGUCAAAGAUCCAUUACCUAAUAAUGUAUACUUUGCGUGUGAUAUGAUCCACAGCAACUAAGGUCAUGAGAAGCCAUCUUCAUAUAUUAAGAUAGGGAUGCAAAAGAAUAAUGAAUAAGGCAUUACCUAAGGCAAAGAAAUCAAUGUCCACAUCCAUGAGAGUGGUUGGCCACAGAGCCAUAAUAAGAGAUUAUAGAACUCGCAGCAAUGAUCAUUAAUCUUGAACACUCAUGAGACAAGUAGUGGACACGUAUGGACGAGGUCUAUGACCCGAACAUGGAUCAGCCAGAUUGAAACAUGGUCAAACGGUAAAUAUAAAUAGCCAAAUUAAAGAGUUGACAGUAGACAAUCACGUCUAGAUCAUGAACACAUGCAAACACGAUUUUGCAUAGACCCAAUAGUGAUCUCCGAGGAUAAUGUAGUUCACAUUGUUUAUCACACAUGCUUUACCGGGACACUCGAUGUCAAAAGACAUGGGAAACGAUCUAAGAGGUCGAAGUGGUCUAGUUACGGCUUAGUAAUGAACUUAGCCAAUUACUCCCUUCCUACAUAUAUAGGAAAGAUCACGCACUAGAUGCGUAGAAUGUAGUACCUACACUGAGGUUCACAUCAGGGGGAGCAGUGCGUGUUGUACUCUUUUUCCUUCAUCAUGGUUUUGUCCCACUGGGUUUCCUGAUAAGGUUUUAAUGAGGCAACAUGAAGCGUACUACAAAUCCUGUAUGGUUAUGGAAUCCAAAGGGGAGUGUUAUAAAUCAUGGAAAGGAUUGCCAUUAACCAAGACAAGAAGAGAAGGCCCAUCGGCCAUGAUCAGGCCCAGCCGCGGCCGCGGCUUGGAGAAAAGGAAACCCUUUUCCUUUUCCUAGUAGAUGUAAUCUUUCCAUUUAUGUAUUUACUAAUUAUCCUAAAUCUAGUCAGAUUAGGAUUUGUAUACUUUCCUUUUAUCUCUAUCUUGUAAUCCUUAUAUAAGGAACCCCCAUUAUCAUUAAUAAUAACAUAGAAAUAUUCAGUCUCUAAACUCUCUAAUUACAACAGGAAAGAGUUAUCUUUUCUGUUUAGCAGCCUGCCCACCCUGGAAACGGCUCAGCCGGAGGUAGGGUCCAGCGGCUGGAAGAGCACCGCACAUCGCGUGAUGUCCGGUGCAUUCCCGGCGGCCCUUGAAAAUCCGGAGGACCUAGUGCCGCUCACGCCCAGUCGUACUCAGUUCCAAAACCGUCGACUGUUGGCGGGCUGCUUGAGCUACUAACGUGGCGAGAGCAGACCACCUCGUGUCAGCCGGGGGACGGACUGGGAACGGCUCUUUCGGGGUGUUUCCCUGGGCGUCAAACAGCCAACUCAGAACUGGUACAGACAAGGGGAAUCCAACUGUUUAAUGUAAACAAAGCAUUGCGAUGGUCCCUGCGGAUGCUAACGCAAUGUGAUUUAUGCCCAGUGCUCUGAAUGUCAAAGUGAAGACAUUCAACCAAGCGCAUGUAAAUGGCGGGAGUAACUAUGACUCUCUUAAGGUAGCCAAAUGCCUCGUCAUCUAAUUAGUGACGCGCAUGAAUGGAUUAACGAGAUUCCCACUGUCCUUGUCUACUAUCCAGCGAAACCAUAGCCAAGGGAACGGGCUUGGCAGAAUCAGCGGGGAAAGAAGACCCUGUUGAGCUUGACUCUAGUCCGACUUUGUGAAAUGACUUGAGAGGUGUAGAAUAAGUGGGAGCUCCGGCGCAAGUGAAAGACCACUACUUUUAACGUUAUUUUACUUACUCUGUGAAUCGGAGGCGGGGUAACAACCCCUUCUUUUAGACCCUAGACUCGCUUCAGCGGGUCAAUCCGGGCGGAGGACAUUGUCAGGUGGGGAGUUUGGCUGGGGCGGCACAUCUGUUAAAAGAUAACGCAGGUGUCCUAAGAUGAACCCAACGAGAACAUAAAUCUCAUGUGGAACAAAAGGGUAAAAGCUCGUUUGAUUCUGAUUUUCAGUACGAAUACGAACUGUGAAAGCGUGGCCUAUCGAUCCUUUAGACCUUCGAAAUUUGAAGCUAGAGGUGUCAGAAAUAGCGAAGUUUCUUUUUGAUCCUUUGAUGUCGGCUCUUCUCCUAUCAUUGUGAAGCAGAAUUCACCAAGUGUUGGAUUGUUCACCCACCAAUAGGGAACGUGAGCUGGGUUUAGACCAUCGUGAGACAGGUUAGUUUUACCCUACUGAUGCCCGCGUCACAAUAAUAAUUCAACCUAGUACGAGAGGAACCGUUGAUUCACACAAUUGGUCAUCGCGCUUGGUUGAAAAGCCAGUGGCGCAAAGCUACCGUGCGCUGGAUUAUGACUGAAUGCCUCUAAGUCAGAAUCUGGGCUAGAAACGAUGCAUGCGCCCGCCGCCCGAUUGCCGACCCUCAGUAGGAGAUUCGGCUCCCAAAGGCACAUGUCGUUGUCUAAGUCCAUUUGGCGGAAGCGCCGUUUGGACCGCCUUGAAUUAUAAUUACCACCGAGCGGUGGGUAGAAUCCCUUGCAGACGACUUAAAUACGCGACGGGGUAUUGUAAGUGACAGAGUGGCCUUGCUGCCACGAUCCACUGAGAUUCAGCCCUUUGUCACUAAGAUUCGACCCUCCCCC
rnacentral:rRNA from 1 species